AAACUUUCAUAGUUGGAGGCAAUUGUUCUAAAUUAAUUAGUUUUUUUCCGGUCAUUAAUAAUGUAAAGCCAAGCUUGAUAUUUAAUUGAAUCCCGUUUGUUUCUAAUCAGUAAGUUUAUCUUUGGUUUGUUGAUUAAAAACAAACGGGAUUGAUGUCAUUUUUGAAAUGAUCCCAUGUUCUUAAUUUUUCCAUGGAGGUUGGAGUUAUGUCAAGUUUUUAUGAUAGUUAAACAUGGCUAAUCUCUGGUCUUGUUGCUUUUUGCUGAUGGAUAUGGUUUGGUUUGCUGUGUUUUGUAACCAAGCAAGCAAGCAACCUAUGCUUUUGUUUAAUUCUUGAAGAGGAUUGGUGGAUCAGGAAUGGAUACGAGGAGCAAAGCAAGGACUCUUUCUGGUCCGGUUUGUGAUCCUUCAAAGCUUCCCAAGUGGGACCAUGAUGGUUCUCAAUUUUAUUGCAGUGCUGGCACAAAUUCAAGAGACUGUUCUGUACGCGUUUUCUAGAAUUGUUUGCAUAUACUUUCUCUGUGCAUCAAUUCUCUUUUGAAGGUGGUGCUUUACCUAUUAGGACAAUGAGAACAGAGUACUCGGAAAGGUAAGGAGCUUUCCCCCACCUUUUUAAGACAGAGAACUUGAAAUUUUUGUCACUAGCCUUAAGGUUUUCUGUAAUUUCUUAGGAUUUACCUUUAAUUGCUCAUCUAAAGUCCUCUGUGCUUGUAUUUGCGUUCCAAGCACUUCAUUUCGGUGGAUGUUCCUGAUAAAAUGUUGAAGGAAACCUAUGAAUGAAAUGAUGAUAGUUUCCAUUGUCUAAAAUAUACUUGAAACUGUUAUGGGUAGAAAACACUGGCCGAGUUGCCUUUAUAUAUAUACACGUACUUGUUCAAGCCAUCACCGAAGAUUCUGGCUGUAGCAGCAUCUUGUAGGUUUUUUAGAUGACCAGUUGCUGCUAAAAAGAGAGAGACUGAAUUAGAUUACAUACCGAUACAAAUGCCACAAACUCCCAUUUGCAGGACAGUUAAGAGAAGUAGACCAGCAGCAGGAAUUGAAGGAUAUAAACUAGUAAGUAGAAAAGGAGGCAUGAUGGAACCCUAGCUCCUUACCAUCUCUAAUUGCCUGUUCAUUGAGAUAAUUCUGUGGUUGCUUUCCAAGCCUAAAUUUCUGUGUACAUAGUCAAUAAAUAACUGAAAUAAGAUAUCCUAAGAUGGCAAGAUAUGUGUAGCUGAAAAUCUAGAGAAAUGAAGAAGAAAUUAACCUGAAGGUGGCUCUUCAAGUGAUAAAGGGUCAGACCCUUAACUCCCAUAAUUCUCAUAAUGGCCUUAGGUGUGGCCUCUAGAUUGGGUUCAGACAUGGAAAAGAAAGCAGGAGAAACAAGGGUGACAGCAUCGACAAAUCGUUCAUGAAGCUCGAGAGUCCAUCGGAGACGAGGCUUGGGGUCUGUUGUGAUCAGAAGAUGGUUGC